GAUGAACGCUAGCGGCAGGCCUAAUACAUGCAAGCCGAACGGCAAGUCUUUUAGCAAUAGAAGACCUAGAGUGGCGUAAGGGUGCGUAACACGUAUGCAAUCUGCCCUCAACAGGAGGAUAGCUCCCCGAAAGGGGAAUUAAGCCUCCAUAGGAUCGUAAUGUGGCAUCACAUAGCGAUUAAACUACCAGGGGUUGAGGAUGAGCAUGCGCAUGAUUAGUUAGUUGGCGGGGUAACGGCCCACCAAGACGAUGAUCAUUAGGGGAACUGAGAGGUUGAUCCCCCACACUGGCAACUGGAGAUACGGGGCCAGACUCCUACGGGAGGCAGCAGUAGGGGAAUAUUGGGACAAUGGGUGGCAAGCCUGAUCCAGCCAUGCCGCGUGCAGGAGAAAGCUUCUGGUGUAAACUGCUUUUGCCAGGGGAUAAAAACAACUUUGCGAAGUGGAUUGAAGGUACC
rnacentral:rRNA from 1 species